CGGUGCGAUCAUACCAGCACUAAUGCACUGGAUCCCAUCAGAACUCCUCAGUUAAGCGUGCUUGGGCGAGAGUUGUACUAGAAUGGGUGACCUCUUGGGAAGUCCUCGUGUUGCACCUC
rfam:Gossypium raimondii scaffold_903_contig_1, whole genome shotgun sequence.